rnacentral:rRNA from 1 species
CCUACGGGAGGCAGCAGUGAGGAAUAUUGGUCAAUGGGCGCGAGUCUGAACCAGCCAAGUCGCGUGCAGGAUGACUGCUCUAUGGGUUGUAAACUUCUUUUAUACAGGAAUAAAGUGAGGCACGCGUGUCUUUUUGAAUGUACCUUACGAAUAAGGAUCGGCUAACUCCGUGCCAGCAGCCGCGGUAAUACGGAGGAUCCAAGCGUUAUCCGGAUUUAUUGGGUUUAAAGGGAGCGUAGACGGGUUGUUAAGUUAGUUGUGAAAUUUUGCGGCUCAACCGUAAAAUUGCAAUUGAUACUGGCAGGCUUGAGUGCAGUUGAGGUAGGCGGAAUGCAUGGUGUAGCGGUGAAAUGCUUAGAGAUCACGAAGAACACCGAUUGCGAAGGCAGCUUACCAAACUGCCACUGACAUUGAUGCACGAAAGUGUGGGUAGCAAACAGGAUUAGAUACCCCAGUAGUC